rnacentral:rRNA from 1 species
GAUGAACGCUGGCGGCGUGCCUAAUACAUGCAAGUCGAGCGAACAGACGAGGAGCUUGCUCCUCUGAUGUUAGCGGCGGACGGGUGAGUAAUACGUGGAUAACCUACCUAUAAGACUGGGAUAACUUCGGGAAACCGGAGCUAAUACCGGAUAACAUGUUGAACCGCAUGGUUCAACAGUGAAAGACGGUCUUGCUGUCACUUAUAGAUGGAUCCGCGCCGCAUUAGCUAGUUGGUAAGGUAACGGCUUACCAAGGCAACGAUGCGUAGCCGACCUGAGAGGGUGAUCGGCCACACUGGAACUGAGACACGGUCCAGACUCCUACGGGAGGCAGCAGUAGGGAAUCUUCCGCAAUGGGCGAAAGCCUGACGGAGCAACGCCGCGUGAGUGAAGAAGGUCUUCGGAUCGUAAAACUCUGUUAUUAGGGAAGAACAAAUGUGUAAGUAACUAUGCACGUCUUGACGGUACCUAAUCAGAAAGCCACGGCUAACUACGUG